AAAAGUGCUAUAAAAGAGUGGGGUGGUUGGUUGAGAAGGGAACUGGAGUCACUUGGCUGCUCUGUGAAGAAAAAAGAAUUGGUGCUCUGAGGAGUUGCCCACAAGAAACACCAAGAAGGUAUGAAACUUUUGCAUAAGGAGACAACAGUAUGGAAUCCCUGCAAUAAGAUGACAACACGUUAUCACUGCACUGAGACAAAACAGCCUUUUGUCUGGGCUUCUAAAACUGAGUAACUCCUACUUCUGAGCUGGAGAAUGCACCAUUGAGCUGGGACAGGAACAGAACGGGAGUGAAGGGGAGAGAGGUUUGUGAAGAGAGGGAAGAUUUCUGCCAGGAAGUGAUCACCUGAGCUCACUGCCAACAGGUGUGGGAGAUGCUCUGAUGCCUUCAACACAUCCAGUGCUGAAGCAAUGACCACCUGAAGUGCUAAUAUCAUCAGCUGUUUUCCUCUUCAGCAUGAAAAAGGUUUGGUUUUGUGGGCUCCCAUCCCAAUGCUUCCCCACUCCUAUGACAAGGAGUUCCUGACCUACAAAUAACAGAAGAUGAACAUACCCCGAACCUUAGGAGCAGUUUGAUCAGUCAUGUAAUUAAAUGCCUGGGACAGGACAGCCCAGAGCUCACUGUGCUGCCUUUCAAGAGCACAAUUUUCUUCUAUACUGGCACCAUUUCAACACCUUUUUUCUAGUACAGGAAACAGCAUACUGCACUUGUCCACAUGUGUGCAAGUCAACCUCAAAGCAAAUAGACUCUUUAUGUGACCUUGCUGGCCUCAGAACCCUGCCAGGGAGGUCAAGAACAUUUUUAAACCCAACCAACAAAUUUCUGAUUGUUGCUGUCAUUGCAAAUAUUUGUACAGGCUUUUAGCUCUACUGUCUUUGUAGAAAGAACUGUGUUUAUUUUUAAGUUCAAUUUUUAGCUGCCUUUAAAAUGCUCGUCUUUGUUGCUAGACAUCAGCUUGAAUAAACAAUAAUAGUGAAGCUCCAAAAUACUCAGAACAACCUGUUAAUGAUUAAAUACAGUCUUCUUAGUCAAAAUACUAAUUUGACAACUCUAAAACCACAGCCUAUAAAAAUCAUUCGGUACCUAUAAUAUCAUAAAUCUUAAUACAGUCUAAGUUAUCUUCUUUGCUAUGAGGAAAAGGGAGCUGCCAAGUUGCAGCUGACUUUUAUUCUGCAUCAUGUUUCAUUACCCUCUUCAUCCCCAGCCACACAGCAAACAGCUGUUUUACUCCCUGUAACUUGUUCUUUACUAGGGCCAAGGUGAGGAAAAUCAGGCACAAGCUGAUUUACUUGUCAGCUCAGCUGCCCUUCUCAGCAGGGCAUGUUCAUGUCCUUGUCACAGGACGAGUCUGUGCAACUGUGAUGGGAUUCAGUUUUACUUUAAAAACCAUUAUGGUCCCUUUCCUACACAAUCACGAAACAGUAAUUCCAUCAAGCAAGGUGAUGGCACUGUAAAUCACUGCAGUAAAACCCAGUGGAAUUGUAGUACCAUCUUCAUGAAGGUUUGAGGCUGUAUUCAUACAUAUUUUUUUUUACUUCAGUCUUUCCAUGGAAUCAGUGUUUAUGGAAGUGAGGUGCUGGUAAUAAAAAAACCUUUAGCUGGAAUAAAUUACAAAUGAGCAAGCUGCUGCCCUGCAGCUCGUUGCACUGGGAUGCUGGGCUGGAGCCUGCCCUGCUCACAGCUCACCCUGGGGGCACAGGUGCCUCUUACUUGUGGAGGCAGGGCUGGAAAACAGGAUUCCUCUUCCCUGUGGGAGAGCCAGCAGUGCUCUUCUUUUAGAUCCAGGCACCAGUCCAGGACUAAGCAGAGCAUCAAACACUCCUGGGAGGGAAAGGGGCUAAAGAAAGGGGCCUGUUGAAGCUUCAGGUGGGGAGAUGUCAUCUUGUUGUCAGGGAAGGCACUGAGAACAUGCUUUGCUCUCCCAGCAGAUUCUUCCCUUAGGGGAAAACAACUGCUCUGUAAGAGCAUCAUCGACAUGGCAGAUACAUAAUUGAUACCUUCGUUUCCCCACUUGGCUCUUCCUGAUGUAUUUGGGGCCUCCACUUCUCCUCUGCUCUCUGUUAAUAAUGAAUGACUGCAUUAUCACAGUGCUUAAAGAGGGCUGGCCAUAGAUCAGAACCUCUUUGUUUAAAGAGCAGUAUGGACAAACACCAGAAAGACCAUUCUUGUUUCAGCUCCAAGUAUAAAAUGAGAGACAAUAGCUUGAACAACAGAUUUCUGAUUUUCAUUGACACCUUCUCAGCUGUUGCAUUAAAAAAAAAAUUAGCUAUCCACAAGCCCCUAUGAGUUUAUUUGCCAGCAUGUCCCUCUCAAACUUUCUCAUUCAGACACUGGCAUUUUAAGCAAUCAUAAAAUACAUCUUUGCUGUCUGCAGACUAAAACAAAAUGCCAACUUCAACUUUUAUAUGCCAGCUUGAACUGAACUGCUUUAGCUGGAGUUGGAUGAGCAUCCCUUGAGCCAGAAAGCAAGUACCAACAAAAAAAAACAGCAGACCCCAUCUCCUCCCCAGCAGUGCUUUCCAGCACUACACUACCCCAUGGCCUAAUAUAUUAAUUCAGCACUUAGCUUCAGCACACAGAGCUUCAAAGGGCACCAGAGGAAAUGCCUGUUUGUCUGUCAGGGGCACCUGAGCCCACCCAGCUACUUCACCAUGCAUCAGUACAUUGCUGUGCAGGAAAACCUUUCAUUUUUCUAAGUGGAAUUAGGAGUUAGCAGUCAUCAUAGCCCAAUGAAACAUUUUAAGCCUUCCAAUUACCA